rnacentral:rRNA from 1 species
GGGGAAUCUUAGACAAUGGGGGCAACCCUGAUCUAGCCAUGCCGCGUGAGUGAUGAAGGCCUUAGGGUCGUAAAGCUCUUUCGCUGGGGAAGAUAAUGACGGUACCCAGUAAAGAAACCCCGGCUAACUCCGUGCCAGCAGCCGCGGUAAUACGGAGGGGGUUAGCGUUGUUCGGAAUUACUGGGCGUAAAGCGCGCGUAGGCGGAUCAGAAAGUUGGGGGUGAAAUCCCGGGGCUCAACCUCGGAACUGCCUCCAAAACUCCUGGUCUUGAGUUCGAGAGAGGUGAGUGGAACUCCGAGUGUAGAGGUGAAAUUCGUAGAUAUUCGGAAGAACACCAGUGGCGAAGGCGGCUCACUGGCUCGAUACUGACGCUGAGGUGCGAAAGUGUGGGGAGCAAACAGG